rnacentral:lncRNA from 1 species
AAUCUCCUUUCCUGUAGUUUGAAGCCAUUGUUCCGUGUCCUAGUCUGCAGGGCAGCAGAAAACAAGCUUGCUCCCUCCUCCCUAUGACUUCCCCUCACGUAUUUGUACAUGGCUAUCAUGUCUCCUCUCAGCCGUCUCUUCUGCAGGCUAAACAUGCCCAGCUCUUUAAGCCUCUCCUCAUAGGGCUUGUUCUCCAGACCCUUAAUCAUUUUAGUCACCCUCCUCUGGACGCUUUCCAGCUUGUCAACAUCUCCCUUCAUCUGCGGUGCCCAAGGCCACACCUGGAAUACUGUGUCCAAUUCUGGGCACCGCAGAUGAAGGGUGAUGUUGACAAGCUGGAAAGCGUCCAGAGGAGGGCAACUAAAAUGAUCAAAGGUCUUGAGAACAAGCCCUAUGAGGAGAGGCUUAAAGAACUGGGCAUGUUUGGCCUGCAGAAGAGAAGGCUGAGAGGAGACAUGAUAGCCAUGUACAAAUAUGUGAGGGGAAGUCAUAGGGAGGAGGGAGCAAGCUUGUUUUCUGCUGCCCUGGAGACUAGGACAAGGAACAAUGGCUUCAAACUACAGGAAAGGAGAUUCCACCUGAACAUCAGGAAGAACUUCCUCACUGUGAGAGCUGUUCGGCAGUGGAACUCUCUCCCCCAGACUGUGGUGGAGGCUCCUUCUUUGGAAGCUUUUAAACAGAGGCUGGAUGGGGGUGCUUUGAAUGCGAUUUCCUGCUUCUUGGCAGGGGGUUGGACUGGAUGGCCCAUGAGGUCUCUUCCAACUCUACUAUUCUAUGAUUCUAUGAUUCUAAGGCCCUUCCACACAGCCCUACAUCCCAGAAUAUCAAGGCAGAAUCACCCACAAUAUGUACUUUGAAGUGGGUUAUCUGAGUCCACACUGCCAUAUAUUUCAGUUCAAACCAGAUAAUGUGGGAUUUUUUUCAGCUGUGUGGAAGGGGCCCUAGUCUUAUCUGUGAAACAUUGGAGGAUAGUGCACAUGUCUCUGUAAGCUACAUGCACAUGUUACCAACAGGAUCUAGCCAAGUUCAAAAUGUUUAGGCAUUUUCUGUCAUAAUUAGUUUUUUGUAUCUGUAGUAACUGCAUUACAGAUGUUUUCAACCAUUUCUGUAAAAAGACCUCUUUGUGUGAGGAAUAUUACCAGAAGAGACACAGAAGGUAAAUGUCUUCUAUCUAGAAAUCUCUAUGUUCCUCUCUGUCUGUCUGUCUCUAAGCAGAUGUAUGUGGUUCUUCAGUUUGUUUGAUUAUUAUGGCCUUCUUUUGCUCACAUCCUUCAUCAAGGUAUCUCUUGAAGGUAGAGAAAUUGUCUCAAAAACCUGGUCUGAGAUUUAUCUCUAUUUUUCUUGUUUCUUUUCAAAUGCCACAGUGACCUCCUUUUUAAAUGGCAGUAACAGCUUGUACUCAUAGAAAAGCACUGUG